rnacentral:rRNA from 1 species
AAGUCGUAACAAGGUUUCCGUAGGUGAACCUGCGGAAGGAUCAUUACAGUAGUCAUCCGGGUUGCCGCAAGGCCUCCCGGGUAACCUACCACCCUUUGUCUAUUACACUUUGUUGCUUUGGCAGGCCUGCCCUCGGGCUGCUGGCUCCGGCCGGCGAGCGCUUGCCAGAGGACCUAAACUCUGUUUGUCUAUACUGUCUGAGUACUAUAUAAUAGUUAAAACUUUCAACAACGGAUCUCUUGGUUCUGGCAUCGAUGAAGAACGCAGCGAAAUGCGAUAAGUAAUGUGAAUUGCAGAAUUCAGUGAAUCAUCGAAUCUUUGAACGCACAUUGCGCCCCCUGGUAUUCCGGGGGGCAUGCCUGUCCGAGCGUCAUUACAACCCUCAAGCUCAGCUUGGUGUUGGGCCCCGCCGCCCCGGCGGGCCCUAAAGUCAGUGGCGGUGCCGUCCGGCUCCGAGCGUAGUAAUUCUUCUCGCUCUGGAGGCCCGGUCGUGUGCUCGCCAGCAACCCCCAAUUUUUUUCAGGUUGACCUCGGAUCAGGUAGGGAUACCCGCUGAACUUAA